GUAAGAGCACUUUUUUCUUCGAAUAAAAACCAAAUUAGGGCUCUGUCACUCCCCCAAAAGUCCACAAUAGGCCCGAUCCGACAGAGAAAGAUGAAAGGAGGACGAGCUAGCCUAGUCAAGCCACAAACAGCAGCGCAACCAAGCAUAGGUCUAACACCUCGUCUCCCUCAAUCGACUUGCACCAAACCUUCAAAGGGUCAGCCUCCCGUCAGCAGUCUGGUGGAGGGUCGCGAUCCUCGCCAUCGCCAUGGUCAACAAAAGAAAACUCCUAAAACCCCGACCUGGAACAACAAAGAUCAGACCGCCGCCCUCGAACUCAGAAACCCCUUCCUCAAGAGUUACAACCACCGCCGCUUCCUUUGCGGACCUCCGAUGUCGCAAAACUCGGCACGAAAGAGACCACUGCACACCCAGACCCGCACCCUCAACUGCCUCAGCCGAGAACUGCUACGAUUGGAGCCUUUACGGCCUCAACUUUUUCUGUCAAGCAAUCCAACUAAACAAUGACGUUGAUGAACAAGAGGCCUAAACCGCUUGAUGCAACUGUAGCGCUCUUCACUGUAGAUUAAUGACUCUUGAUAAUACCAGCGGUUGCCCCCUCAUAGGCAUGGAACCCUUCCACGCACAGACGAUUGGAGAGCGGAGACACUUCAAUUUUCUUCACGCACAGACGCUUCAAUUUUCUCCACGCACAAACGCUCCAAUUCUUCUCUUUGUCUUCUCGCUUCAAUCGACUGAUGGAGAUAUCUCUUGAGGGUAAGCAUGUUGAAAUGGAAAAUCAAAGAAAUAAGGGAACUAUUGGUUUGGUGGGUAUCUAGAUGAUUACCACGUUUUUCAUCUUUUACUACCUAAUGUGGGCUAUGCAUAUAGCUAGCCAUGUUGCAAACUUUGAUUUUUCAUUGUAUAUAUACUGCAUUCUCAUAUGCAGAUCGCAUUGGUCAAGUUUCAAUGUUUGUCUGAUAGUUGUGUUGUAAGAAUCCCUGUAUGAGGGAUCAAGUAGUACAUUGUAGAUCAAUUAAACUACCAUCAAUAGAUAGCCCUAGUUUUCUUAUGAACAAUAUCAAUUUCUGACUACAAACUGUGCAAAUGAGUCCGUUGAUGCUCAGAAAGUGUUUGUUAUAGUUGGUUCCAUGUAUCUAAGCCCUGCACUAGAGAAGAUGAGUGAUGCUCUCCGCAAUAGUAGACAUUUAAGUUAUAUACUGUUCCAAUUACCUUUGACAGGGUGAGUGUUAAUGGUAAUGAUGCACCACAUGGAAUCAAAUUGCUCACUGUCCCAGUGUUAGUAGAUAGAGAAACAAAAUUCAGACCUGCUGGAAGGUAAAGAAUGUAAAGAAAAAAAAGGACAUCAAUUGAGCUUGAGGCACGGUAUUCCCAUAAUAUUUACAAGAAAAAUAUUCUGGAAUUUCUAAACUUUGACAUUCUAUGGAAUGUGGGUUACACAGAAAGGGAAUGUCAUUUAAACUAUUUGAAUCUAGAAUGAAUUCAUUGUUUAUGCUCACUGUGUCCUUGUGAUCAUCAACAGGGAGGGCUCUGAUUCUGACUGUUUAUCAAAUGAGACCAAACUAGUUGGGUAUCCACAGGUGUGUGACAAAGAAGUAACAGAAAGGCAACCUGUAGUAGGAAGUGUGCAGAGAAAAAAUAUUAAAGAUCUCAGGUGGUAGAGAGAGCUCUGUUUCUGUGGAACAACGAUCACAUUGAGAACUUGAUCAAACAAAAUCAUAAUACUGCCCAUUAUGUUAGAGAAGGCAAUGUCCAAAGAUUUAGUUUAAGGUGAUAUGUUGGAUUGAUGUAAAAUAGCCUUGUUGAGGCAUGAUUGACAUGUUUAUAUUGACCUGGGCUUUGAUGCCUUGCUGGAACUAUUUAGUUGCUGAUAUUCAUUAUUGUAGCAUCAUAUGAAGCUAGCAAAGUAUAAACAGAUUUACAUGUAUACAUUGCCAUCUUCUGUA